CUCAAACAAGCCUAUAAAACCAAAGGGUUGCCCCAACUAAAAGCUUCGUCGAGGAAUAAUUGACGUACGUCACUGCAAAGCUUAAAGAGCACGGCAUGAUGGUUCGGUUUAUGGAUACUGUGAAAUGAUUACCACAGGAGGCCCAGGAGGGAUCAUGGUCAUCACACUCCAGAUUAAAAGCAAUCCAUCAUAAUUUCUGUCGGAAACGAAAAUUUAAAUAUGUCCCUUUGUACACCUAGUCUCCUGGCCUCACCGUCCGUCCUCAUCGCCAUGGGUUAAACCUGACUUGAGUAUCACACACCAGACUCCAGACCAAGGACUGUGUGAUGAGAGCUCAUCUGUCCUUUGCCAAGAUUCUAAUGUUCCACUCUAGACAAUCUGGGCUCCUGGCUCCCGAAACUGCUUCUUCUGUGGCCAGGCCUUGAGGCCCCAGGAUCUGCCCACAUUCCAGAGAGGGUUAGGGUUUCUCAUUAAUCUCUGUCUGGACCCUGUCCUCAGAUUAGCAGCCACUGAAAUGCAAUCCCUGUAAUGAGAAAUGAACAGCCUGACCCAUGUUGUUUCUCUGAGACCCGUUGUCUCCAACUUCUCACCUCUCCCAGGCACAGCACGUUGACUGAAAGAAGCCAUUACAGUGUUCUCACUGCCGAGCGAUCGCCCAUCACUCCAGAAAGUGUGCGAAGGAGUCCUUCCUUCACAGCUUGACAUCUCUGCCCACAUUUGGCACGAACAGAGGAAGCCUCCCAGGGUAGAGAAAGGGGAUGCACUUAGGUUCUAGAGAGCAGAGUUGACACUCUUUCCCAGAAUGAAAAUA